UACGGGGGGGGCAAGCGUUGUUCGGAAUUACUGGGCGUAAAGGGCUCGUAGGCGGCCAACUAAGUCGGAUGUGAAAUCCCCGGGCUUAACCUGGGAACUGCGUUUGAAACUGGAAGGCUUGAGUGUGGCAGAGGGGGGUGGAAUUCCACGUGUAGCAGUGAAAUGCGUAGAUAUGUGGAGGAACACCGAUGGCGAAGGCAGCCCCCUGGGCUAACACUGACGCUCAUGCACGAAAGCGUGGGGAGCAAACAGG
rnacentral:rRNA from 1 species